ACAUCGACACCAUUUUCUGCUUGCUGAAACCAAGGGCUGAUGUAUCUGAUCCUUCCUCCUCCUGCGGCUCUCACCCUUCAGGACAUCAUUUGUUCCACCUGGUCCCUCGAUCACAGUAGCCAAACCUACUUCCAUGGUAAAUCAAGACUCGAAGCCACAAAACGCAGAACCUGCCAAUCCUCUUAAGCCCCAGGCCCAGAAAGGGCAUCUAUAACCUCUACCACCUUCUAUUAAUCCCAACCAAAGCAACUCUCAGGCCAGAGAAUACUCGAGGGAAGAGGCCAAAGUCUUCAUCUCUUGGAGAGAGAGCAACAUCCACAUACAAAAAUGGGAGGAAUGACUGGCAUUUAUCUUUGCAGACAACUGACCACAUAUAUCAUAGCAAGAGCGCUGGAGAUACACACACAGGGGCCAGGGUGGGGGAGGGGAGGAAUACAUGCAGGAAUUUAGUACGUGUUUAAUUGUACGAUCCAAAUCAUUGGGGAAAGUAGUUAAUAAAUGGUGUUGAAGCCAUUAGUUAACCAUUAAGAAAGAGAAAUUCAGCUGGAUUAUAGAAGCCAAUGGGAUAAACAAAAACAUACAGAGCCAUAAGAAAUACUUUUUACCAGAAUGUGGAAGAGAGAUGAACCAAAAAAAAAAAAAAAAAGAAAACCACAAAAGUAAAUUCUGACUGGCCUGGCAAACCUUACCAUGUACAGACUUUAAACAUAGUAGCCAAACCACUCAGGUUCUGCCUGCUCUUAAAAUGAAGAUGCAACUGAAUGUGGCUCCCACCCUAAGGAUGGGGGACGGGGGUGAGGAAGCCAGAUAAUUGAUAACAUCAUAAGCUUUUCUGAGCUUAUCAGAGAGUAAAGGUUUACACGGCAACUGAAUGAGCAGAAUUAACGGCAACUGGAAGCAGAGACCAAACAAAACAUUUCCCCCUGGGGCAGAGUAAAGACAACACACCAGCCACCAUAAGGGUGGUAAGAAGCAGCCAAAAUUUUAGCAAGUUUUUAAAAGCCAAUUAUCGGGCCGCUGAGACUACGCAGGAGCCCCGGCCCGAAGGGAGCCUACAGGAGCACCUGCAGCCGUGGUGCUCCUCAGACGUGGAGACAGGGCUGGAGACCCGGGGGGACCCCCACCUGCCUUCAGAGGCCCUCGGCGUGAGACCACUUCCACCUUUCUUGGAACUUUCUUUCCUGUGAAAUAACCGUCCUUAGUCACUAGGGAAGGGCCGACAGCCUUUUUAAUCCCAAAGGGUCAAAGAUUCAUUGCCUCAGAGAGAAGGACAACAAAAGGCGUCCUCUCCUGAAGGCUACAGGACAGACAGAAAGCCCUCGUGCAAAGGGGACCUCAGCAUGGAGGCAGGGAGGCCCGUCCCGGGGUAGAGGCCUCACCAUCCCCGGCUCAGGGCAUUGGUACCCAGCCGCUGGAGAAGAAAGAGAACAAAGCCCUUGUGAGACAGGAAAAUUCCUCCUGCCCGAGAGAAACGCCCUCCCCUGCCUCAGGGACCAGGCAGACUUUGCUUGGCCCAGCAGAAGAGCAAGAACGCUAGCGAUGCCCAAACUUGCAGGUCUUCCACGCCUGCCUGAGACCGAGGCUCAGACUGGAGACCGGGGCACUGACUCCCUCC
ensembl:lncRNA